GGAAAUGAAAACGAGCUGCGGCUUCGGAUGUGGUGGGUGCAUUCACGACGGUGUGUCGCAUUUUAAAUUUCUGGGAGGAUUGACAGAUUGAGAGCUCUUGUCUGGUUAAAUGCGAUAAUGAACGAGACUCUAGCCUAUUAAAUAGGUGUGUGGUUCUCUGCACCUUGCGCCCUUCUUAGAGGGACAAGCGGCUCCUAGCCGCACGAAACAGAGCAAUAACAGGUUUGUGAUGCCCUUAGAU
rnacentral:rRNA from 1 species